rnacentral:rRNA from 1 species
AUUAGAUACCCUAUUAUUUUUAAUGUAAAAAAGUUAAGCUAGAGUACUAGUAGAUAUGUUCUUGAAACUUAUAGAAUUUGGCGGUAUUAUAGUCUAUUUAGAGGAAUUUGUUAUGUAAUCGAUAGUCCACGUUGAACCUUACUUAUAUUAAUUCUUGUAUAUCGCUGUUUAAUGAAUAUACUUUUAGGUUAUUUUCUUAAUAAAUGAGUAAUUAGAAUUUCAAGUCAAGGUGCAGUAAUAUAUAAGAUAAAUAAUGGAUUACAAUAAAUUUUAUUUAUAUGGAUAGUUCUUGUAAUUAUAAUUUGAAGGUGGAUUUAAAUGUAAUUUUUUAAAGAUUGUUUUAAUGAUUUUUAGCUCUAUAAUAUGCACACAUCGCCCG